rnacentral:rRNA from 1 species
AAGCCAACUCUAGCCCUACCACAACCAUAACAUAACAACAAAACCCCACUCAGUACAUAAACUAAAACAUUCUAUAAACCUAGUAUAGGAGAUAGAAAAGUAACCAUAAGGCGCCAUAGAGAUCUCGUACCGUAAGGGAAUGAUGAAAUACUAGUGAAAACCAAAGCAACAAGCAGCAAAGAUUACCCCUUGUACCUUUUGCAUCAUGAUUUAGCAAGAACACCCAAGCAAAGUGCCCUUAAGUCUGCCCCCCGAAACUCAAGCGAGCUACUUGCAAGCAGCUACCAUGAGCGAACCCGUCUCUGUUGCAAAAGAGUGGGAUGACUUGCCAGUAGAGGUGAAAAGCCAAACGAGCUGAGUGAUAGCUGGUUGUCCACAAAACGGGUUUAAGCCCCCCCUUGACUACUCCGAAUGGAGAACAAAUAAACCCCAAAUGUAGAACUCAAGAGUAAUUUAAAGGGGGUACAGCCCCUUUAAAAAAGAACUCAACCUUACCUAGUGGAUAAGCCAACCCUACAUUCAACCUGUGGGCCCUCAAGCAGCCACCAACAAAGAGUGCGUCAAAGCUCGCAACCCAAAAAAUAUGAAAACACCACGAAUCCCUUAAUGCUAGUGGACUAACCUAUGCCUAUAGGAGCAUUAAUGCUAGAAUGAGUAAUUUGGGAUUUUUCCCUCCAGGCGCAAGCUUACAUAACAAUUAACAGACCUGAUACAUCCAACCCAUGACCAAGUAUCAAACCCACUGUUGACCCCACACCGGAGCGCCCAUAAGAAAGAUUUAAACCUGCAAAAGGAACUAGGCAAACUACAGGCCCGACUGUUUACCAAAAACAUAGCCUUCAGCAAAACAAGUAUUGAAGGUGAUGCCUGCCCAGUGACAUCACGUUUAACGGCCGCAGUAUCCUAACUGUGCGAAGGUAGCGCAAUCAAUUGUCCCAUAAAUCGGGACUUGUAUGAACGGCUAAACGAGGUCUUAACUGUCUCUUGCAGGUAAUCAAUGAAAUUGAUCUCCUCGUGCAAAAGCGAGGAUGAGCCCAUAAGACGAGAAGACCCUGUGGAACUUAAAGAUCAGGGGCCACCUGACACCAACUACAACCUACCAGGAAUACCAAUUUACCCACGCUGGCUCCCAUCUUUUGGUUGGGGCGACCUUGGAGAAAAAUAAAACCUCCAAACACAGGAUCAAAAAUCCUUACUAAGAGCAACCCCUCAACGUACUACAAAGCAACCAGACCCAAUACAAUUGAUCAAUGGACCAAGCUACCCCAGGGAUAACAGCGCAAUCCCCCUCAAGAGCCCGUAUCGACAGGGGGGUUUACGACCUCGAUGUUGGAUCAGGACAUCCUAAUGGUGCAGCCGCUAUUAAGGGUUCGUUUGUUCAACGAUUAAUAGUCCUACGUGAUCUGAGUUCAGACCGGAGUAAUCCAGGUCGUUUCUAUCUAUGCAUGUAUUUUUCCCAGUACGAAAGGACCGGAAAAAUAGGGCCAACACUACUAAGCGCGCCCUCCCCCCAAGCAAUGAAACCAACUAAACUGCCUAAAGGGACCAAACUCACUCCCACACAUCCUAUAAAAGGAC